rnacentral:lncRNA from 1 species
AUGAGCGUCAUGCGCCAAAGCGCACAUAAGAUAUAUGUCUGUUUCCUUACUUUAACUUUAAAAAAUGUGAGAAGUUGCUCUCAAAACAAACACCAUUUUGCAUAUGUAUCUUGUGGAAAAAGAUGUAGGCUGUAUGAUUGUUUUUUUUCCUUCUUCUUCCUUAGGUUGAGUACUGAAGGUGGCGCUUGGACACUGUUGCAGGCGCCUGGAUGCGUCGCUCACAGUACAGAUCUGAUCCAAAAAGCAGAGGGAAUCCAAAAUGACCUGAAAGGGAUUACAUCAUCCUGGAGCAACACUGGCUUACACAGUGCAGUACGUUCUACAGUAAUCAUAUUGCCAUGUCAUUCCCCAUAAGCUCCGUCUAUUUAAAUCCUUUAAUUAUGUACCAGCAGCACCGAAGCAGUGUUUACUGUAAGAGUCCCGGGUACCUAGUUUUGUAUUGUACUUGUGCCUUGUGUUAAUAAACUUGGGUGGAGGAAGAGCCCUCCAGGCACUCACAGCAACUGUAAUGAGAGUGUGUUUAGUCUAGAGUCCGUGUAAGACUAAUACUGAUGGAUUGUAUGGCUCCAGGUCAGGUCUUGCACUCUUACAUAUUGGUGAAGGCUUACAGAAGAAUCAAGGAAACGUUUCAUGAGGUCGUGCUCUCUCCAUUUGUUCAUUUGAGAAGAAAUGGCGAUAAUGUGUAGUUUUGAAAAACUACAUGUUGUCACCAGAAAUAAUAAAGACAUUGUUUACAGUUUCUAGCUGUGUGGAGUGGUCAAAAGAAUUCAUCAAUAAAAUGCAGUUGCUCUAGUUAAACAAGUAGCAAAACAUCAGGAUAAGAUACCUAGAUAUGUUGAUCGUGUUUCACUCAGAAGUUCAUUUCUAAGAACUAGGGAACUUUUCCCACUGAAGCCACGCGGCUCUGCUUCCCUGCUAGCCAGCCCAGACUUGCCCUCUCACGAGAUAAGAUAGUGUUGACUACAGGCUAGUGUGUAGAGACUAGUGUGGGGCCUCCAGUGUGCUUAGUCACCCUCAUUCGCAUCCUGUGCUCUGAAGUUUUACUGGUUUAUGAUCUUUGCACCAGCAGUCGAAUCCUGACAGUUCAAAGUAGCAUGACAAAUUGAGAAUCCCUGCCCCGUGGACAGAUCCUAGGCAGGAUUUUGUUAGGCUGUUGAGUUUUUUUAAUUAGUAGAUAGAAAACUGAAAAAAUGGAUUCAGGUUUUGUUGGCUUUAUUUUUCUUUUGACAGAUUUCUCACAUCUACUUUUUUAUUGAUAGUUAAAGUAAAUUAAUUAAUGUAGACUACACAAAAAAUGCCUGUGCAACGACAGUUCUAAGCUAAAAUGUGGGGUAUCUACAGUAUUGUGUAAAAGAUUUGAACCUACCCUCCUUCAUAGCUUUAUAGGAAAAUGUGGAAAAUGUGAAAUAGGUGCAAAAAGCUUCCAACAAGCUUGAAGAAGAAAGCUUAUCUAAGACAGUUGAGAAUUUGUUGAGGAACAAGUUCUCAACUGUCUUAGAUAAGCUUUCUUCUAAUUUCUUUAAGUAGUCUUUAGAAAUAGUUCUCCAGGCUUCUUGAAGGACAUUCAAAGCUCCUCUUUGGCUGUUGGCUCCCUUUUGUUCUGUUCUCUGUCAAGAUGAUCCCACACUGCUUCAGAAAUGUUGAGGUCCGGGCUCUGAUAGUGUUUUUCUAUCCAUGUAUGCUUUUACUGCAUUGGCAUUGUGUUUGGGAUCAUUUUCCUGCUGAAAAAUGGAUCAAGAAUUGACUGUAGUUUUCUGCAUCAAUAAUUCCAUCACUUUUGACAAGCUCACCAACAGCACUGGCUGAAAUGCAGACCUGAACCAUGACAGAGCCUCUGUUUAGUUUCCUUACAUUUGUUUAAGAACACACCGCACACCCUGCCGAGAUAUGCUAUUUUUGGCUAAUAUACAAUUUAAAAUGCGACACAACACUAGUUGUUAGAUGCCCUUUUUAUGCCCGGAUGAUUCAUAGGUCAGUUUUAUGUGUAAAUGGUCAGGUACAAGAACUGGACUGAAAAAGAGGAAAAAGCAGCCAAUGUCUAAAGAAAAAACGUAUAUCCUACAGUCUGGGGAGUUUUUAUGUUCUUAAACAAUCACAGCGCUUCAACGUGGCUGGACAAAACAGCACUGGGAAAAUCAACCACAUCAAUCAGGCUUUAACCUUGAAAACAAAAACAAAAAGAAAUGGACCCUUGGAGAGACAAACACCUGAAGCAAAUCUGAGAAUUCACUCUUGUUUGAACAGUGACCAGAUAAGAUAGCACAAAGUUAUCAGCACAAGAUGAAUUCCCAGAGGAACCUCCAGGAGGGGUUUCAUCAAUGUAGUGGGAGGGAGAAAAUCAAUCCCUCAAACCACAUAUGGUGACAAAUAACCACCAAAACCUGAAGCAAAAUUAGUUAUACCCUCAACAGCUUUAUUUAGUCAGAAACCAGAAAGUCUAAAUUGAAAAAAAGAAAAAAAAAGUAAUUUCCGCAUGACUGUAAAAGUUCCUAAGUAAACACUGUACAACUGUGUAAACACAAUCAGAAUCAUGUGGCCCCGCAAUGAAAGCAUACUUUUAUUUUUCCCAGACACUGAGCCAGCUCUGGUGAUGUUGCACGCAAUUCUCAAUUCAAAGAGACUAACCAUAUUCAUUUUGCAAACUCAUUCAUCGCACUCACUCAUUCAUUUUGUGUCUGUCGAGCAGUAAAAAAUGUAUUGUCUUGCAUGCAGGUUUUACACUCCUUUAUAUACUAACUAAAGUCAAUACAGAAGGUCGCUUCAAUAUCAUCUUUUAGACGCUGACUGAAUCGCAAGUAAAGUUUUCCUCAAACAUAUUUAUGCUGUAUGUCUGAAGAGAGCAAUGGUGCCACAGAAAAGGGAGAAAAAAAUCUUCAAUAGAGUCCUGUGACUUCCUUUUUACUUUGCAUUACAUAUGCACAUAUAGACUGGUAUUUUCUCCAUCCGUAUCAGAGUCUCAGUAUGUCUUCUCCAUAUACUGACUCACUGCCCUUUCCUUCAUGCCUCUGAAGGAUUUCUAAGACAGGCUUCAAGAAAGAUUUUCAUAAAUGUCCACUUUUGCAAAUCCUCCACAUCCCUCUGUAUGUGCCACGAGCUAUCUUUAUCUUAACAGUAAAGGUCAUUGGAGGAGACUUACCGAUAGGCAAAGGCUAAGCUGUAUUCAUUGGACUCUACUUUUUUAUCUAUCUAUCUAUCUAUCUAUCUAUCUAUCUAUCUAUCUAUCUAUCUAUCUAUCUAUCUAUCUAUCUAUCUAUCUAUCUAUCUAUCUAUCUAUCUAUCUAUCUAUCUAUCUAUCUAUCUAUUAGCAUUAUUAUGAUUUCUUAACUCCUUAAUGUAAUGUGUGGAGGUAAUCUAUGUCUUAAAAAAUAAGCAGGAUUUAUCCCUGCAUACAAAAUAUUAACACAGAUCUGAUAUGAGCGACACAAAAUCUCCAAUUUAUUAUUCCAGUCUCAUGGGAUCUUUUUAAACUGAGUUCGAGUGUCAACAGAGGAGCUCAGGAUUACAAGAUGAGAGCUGUAAGACAAUUCGGAUAAUGAACAGGAAAGCAAAGUUUCGAGAAACCAUAGAGAGAAUGAAUUUAGUCAUAAAAGUGUGAGCGGAUUAGCGCUUCUCUUAUUUCCAACAUUUCCUCUUUGAGGUUCUUACACUAAUCUCAUUAUAAGUGUCUGUCAAGCAUACAUGACAAUUCAUUUUAACAAGGUAGAGUGUUCUGCUCCCUUUAAAUUCACAGAUUGCUUCACAAAUGAAAACACAGAGAGAAGUUCCUUUGGAGCAGGCACGGACUAAAGAAAGAAAAGAGAAGGUUGAGGAUUUCUGAUCAUUUCAAACCCAGAGUAACAGUAAUGGUUUAAAUGAGAAUGUUUUUUUUCUUCCUUGGAAAGGAGUUCAUUGUGACUACUGCAGUGUUUAAUAGUAGCCAAAGGGAAUCAGUUGUUGAAAAGUAGCAAAAGAGAUGCUGAAUAAAUUUUCAUGCUUAAUGUUUAUUCUUUUUGCAC